GGCUUGUUUUAGGAUUCGCUGGGAAUUAUGAAGAUUUGUAAGCAUGUGGGAGUAGUCUUCCUUAACAACGUCGGGGUUUAUAAAUAAACGCUGAAGAAAACAAUGAUUAUGCAUUCUUAGCUGCAAGAAACAAUUCUUGUGCUAACUAUGCUUUCGCUUGCUAAUAUUAUAUAAGCGACAGAAUACUUGAAAUCUCCUAUGUUUUAAGUAUAUCUGACAGUCUAGUAGGAUAUAUUUAUCUUGUGCUACUCUAACAAGAAUAAAUGAAUAUAAUAGAGUGUAGUUAGUCUUUGGUUUGCCUAUUCGCUUAGGGCUAGCGAAAAUUAUGAAUAGACUAAACAUGUAGAAAGCAAGUUGGAUUGGUUUUCAUACGGGAGUUCGAAUCUCCCCAAGUCCACCA
rnacentral:tmRNA from 1 species